rnacentral:rRNA from 1 species
CCUACGGGCGGCAGCAGUGAGGAAUAUUGGUCAAUGGACGAGAGUCUGAACCAGCCAAGUAGCGUGAAGGAUGACUGCCCUAUGGGUUGUAAACUUCUUUUAUAUGGGAAUAAAACGUUCCACGUGUGGGAUUUUGUCUGUACCAUAUGAAUAAGGAUCGGCUAACUCCGUGCCAGCAGCCGCGGUAAUACGGAGGAUCCGAGCGUUAUCCGGAUUUAUUGGGUUUAAAGGGAGCGUAGGUGGAUUGUUAAGUCAGUUGUGAAAGUUUGCGGCUCAACCGUAAAAUUGCAGUUGAAACUGGCAGUCUUGAGUACAGUAGAGGUGGGCGGAAUUCGUGGUGUAGCGGUGAAAUGCUUAGAUAUCACGAAGAACUCCGAUUGCGAAGGCAGUUCACUGGACUGCAACUGACACUGAGGCUCGAAAGUGUGGGUAUCAAACAGGAUUAGAUACCCUAGUAGUC